UGUAAUGUCUCCGAAUCAACUAUGUACGAGUUAACUUUUUGUUUUGUUUAUUUCAAGAGUUAUUUCCCGUAGUUUGGCAAGCGCCAUAUUUUACACGUGCAAUUGGAUUGUGACUUUGUAGCCCUAUAGUUCUUUGACGGCACCAAGACUGAAUAAAGGAGAUGAAGCCUUCUCAAUAACUGUUCCAGUAUAGAAUGGUUUAUCGACUUACGGUGUCAUAAAAAUUUGGGUGCGAGUGUCCAUCUGGAAAAUUUCGAUUGAAGUACAGAAUUUUUUUGAAUCCAAGUACGAUAAUGUUUUUAUCAGCUGAUUGUAGAGGAGGAGUUUUGUCAGUGUUAGAUGGGUACUAACAUCAUCUUGUGGCUGCAUCCAUUUU